rnacentral:rRNA from 1 species
GAAUAUUGCACAAUGGGCGGAAGCCUGAUGCAGCGACGCCGCGUGAGGGAUGACGGCCUUCGGGUUGUAAACCUCUUUCAGCAGGGACGAAGCGUAAGUGACGGUACCUGCAGAAGAAGCGCCGGCCAACUACGUGCCAGCAGCCGCGGUAAGACGUAGGGCGCGAGCGUUGUCCGGAUUUAUUGGGCGUAAAGAGCUCGUAGGCGGCUUGUCGCGUCGACCGUGAAAACUUGGGGCUCAACCCCAAGCCUGCGGUCGAUACGGGCAGGCUAGAGUUCGGUAGGGGAGACUGGAAUUCCUGGUGUAGCGGUGAAAUGCGCAGAUAUCAGGAGGAACACCGGUGGCGAAGGCGGGUCUCUGGGCCGAUACUGACGCUGAGGAGCGAAAGCGUGGGGAGCGAACAGG